UACGUAGGUGGCUUGGUAAGUCGGAUGUGAAAGCCCUGGGCUUAACCUGGGAACUGCAUCCGAAACUGCCUGGCUAGAGUAAGGGAGAGGGAAGUGGAAUUUCCGGUGUAGCGGUGAAAUGCGUAGAUAUCGGAAGGAACACCAGUGGCGAAGGCGACUUCCUGGCCCAUUACUGACACUGAGGUACGAAAGCGUGGGGAGCAAACA
rnacentral:rRNA from 1 species